GUGGGGAAUCUUCCGCAAUGGACGAAAGUCUGACGGAGCGACGCCGCGUGAGUGAAGAAGGCCUUCGGGUCGUAAAGCUCUGUCAUCAGGGACGAACGGCCGGUGGAGUGGAAAGCCACCGGAUUGACGGUACCUGAGAAGGAAGCCACGGCUAACUACGUGCCAGCAGCCGCGGUAAUACGUAGGUGGCAAGCGUUGUCCGGAAUUAUUGGGCGUAAAGCGCGCGCAGGUGGGAUCUUAAGUCCAUUUUGAAAGUUCGGGGCUCAACUCCGUGAUGGGAUGGAAACUGGGAUUCUUGAGUACCGGAGAGGAAAGCGGAAUUCCCCGUGUAGCGGUGAAAUGCGUAGAUAUGGGGAGGAACACCAGUGGCGAAGGCGGCUUUCUGGACGGUGUCUGACACUGAGGCGCGAAAGCUAGGGGAGCGAACGGGAUUAGAAACCCGAGUAGUCC
rnacentral:rRNA from 1 species